AUCUUUCUGUAGUUCAUAAGCAUGCGCCGCACUAGGUUUUCACAUUAUUGCUGUAUUGUGUGAGAUGUGCCUCCCUACAAACCAUCUUAGGAUGUCAGUACAUUAUGUCUGACA
rnacentral:snoRNA from 1 species